rnacentral:lncRNA from 1 species
CCGUUCUGUCCGGUACUCGUCCGUUGGAUGUACGUUCGACGUCCGUUCUGUCCGGUACGUAUCCGUUUCACGUACGUUCAAUGUCCGUUGUGUGUCCGUUAGGCAUUCGUUACAUGUCCGUUAGUAAACCAACGGACUCCCCAACGGAAUAAAAAUUUUGUCAACGGAUAACUAUUUUUUUAUCCGUUAGGCGUCCGUUCGAGCUAUCCGGUAAGGUGUGACCGAGGCUUUAGUGAAUUCAUCUGCCAGACCUCCAACGGAUGUAUAACGGACACGUAACGGAUACAAAACGGAAACGAAACGGACGAGUACCGUACAAAACGGACGCCUACCGUCCGUUCAACGAAAAUUUCAUCCGUUGGACGUCCGUUCAAAGUUUUUAACAUGCUCAAAAUUUUUCACAGGACAAAACAGACGUCGACGGAUAAAACGUACACUAAACGGACAUGCAACGGAUAAAA